GCCUGCUUGGGAAUCUCUGAGGGGCCCGCGCAGCAGUCGCGCCAGGCUGCACGACGCGGGGCUGCGGCUGGCGUCGGUCCCGGCGACGGCCACAGCGUGGCAGCAGCGAGCGCCCGGCGCGGUCGCAAUAAAUAAUCUGCCCGCGGCAGCCGCAGUCAGGCAGCCCGCGGCCCUGCGACGCAAAUGCGCCGCUUUAUCCGCCCUGAGCGCACCCACAGCUCGCGUGGCCGUCCCAAACAUCCACAGCCCCUUCUUAAUUUUCGAAUGCAUACCAAGGUAUUAUCUUAAGGUGGGAAAACAACAACCAAAGCCACAAAACCAACAAAAAGAACUCGAGCCCAGAACCUCAGGAUCGUUUCUGGUCGCAGUCCCAGGAAGCUACUGGGGCAAAUCUGGCCGAGGCGCACCCAGUCUGUGCCACCGCGCCACAUAAAGCCGACGCCCCCGGCACCCUCCGUGCCUCCUCCCCGGCGGCUCCACAGUCCUCUCCCCGCUCGCGCAAAGUGGGGCGUGCGGUCGCCAGCCGGCUGCGCCGAGGUGGGUGGGGGGUCCCCCUAUCGCCCAGACUCGGUUUGCGUCCUUCCUUCAACCUUAGCUGCGGCCCCUGCCACACUCAGUAACACCACUACAUUCUCUGCACCGAAACUUCCCGCCAAGCAACACCCAGCCAAUUAACCCCAUCCUCUCCUCCAACGCAGAGUACCACCCACGCACCUAGUCCCUCUCCCCGCGCUUCAGACACCUCUGUCAUCGGAAAACCGCGUGAAGGGAAGGAGGCAAUCAGCAGAGGAACCUGGCUGAAUUAGUCGGGAACUGUCCCCAGUUGUUGGGGAAUUCAGUCGAGCCAAUUGGGUCAUGAAUGGAAAAAAAAAAAAAAAUCCAAACCGGAGAGGCUGGUUGGGAACGCUGAGUGCCGGGCCACUUCUUUUGGGGCUCGGCAAGGUCACUGGGGAAGAGGAGAGAGAAGACCACAGUGCUCCUGCCCCAUGCCAGGACGCUGUGCCACGAAAGGAAGGCUGGCAUUUACUGCCAUGAUGGCGGCUCCCAGAAGCUCCUGCCCCUCUGACAGCUGUCGCUUGGGCAGCCGGGGAGACGAAUCGUCCUCCUUCCUGGUGCCAGAGGACGCAGGAAAUUAGCCAGGUUGCGAGUUGCAAAGCGGCCGCCGCGGCGCGG